rnacentral:rRNA from 1 species
GACGAACGCUGGCGGCGUGCCUAAUACAUGCAAGUUGAGCGCUGAAGGUUGGUACUUGUACCGACUGGAUGAGCAGCGAACGGGUGAGUAACGCGUGGGGAAUCUGCCUUUGAGCGGGGGACAACAUUUGGAAACGAAUGCUAAUACCGCAUAAAAACUUUAAACACAAGUUUUAAGUUUGAAAGAUGCAAUUGCAUCACUCAAAGAUGAUCCCGCGUUGUAUUAGCUAGUUGGUGAGGUAAAGGCUCACCAAGGCGAUGAUACAUAGCCGACCUGAGAGGGUGAUCGGCCACAUUGGGACUGAGACACGGCCCAAACUCCUACGGGAGGCAGCAGUAGGGAAUCUUCGGCAAUGGACGAAAGUCUGACCGAGCAACGCCGCGUGAGUGAAGAAGGUCUUCGGAUCGUAAAACUCUGUUGGUAGAGAAGAACGUUGGUGAGAGUGGAAAGCUCAUCAAGUGACGGUAACUACCCAGAAAGGGACGGCUAACUACGU